rnacentral:siRNA from 1 species
UAGUGCUUCGCUUCCGGUUCUU